ACGGAGGGUGCAAGCGUUAAUCGGAAUUACUGGGCGUAAAGCGCGCGUAGGUGGUUUGGUAAGCGAGAUGUGAAAGCCCCGGGCUUAACCUGGGAACGGCAUUUCGAACUGUCAGACUAGAGUGUGGUAGAGGGUAGUGGAAUUUCCUGUGUAGCGGUGAAAUGCGUAGAUAUAGGAAGGAACACCAGUGGCGAAGGCGGCUACCUGGACCAACACUGACACUGAGGUGCGAAAGCGUGGGGAGCAAACAG
rnacentral:rRNA from 1 species